AUUAGGGGUCCAAGCCAACAGGUUGGAUCCCUAUUGUUUUUGUAAGGAUUUUUAUUAGGGGUCCAAGCCAACAGGUUGGAUCCCUAUUGUUUUUGUAAGGAUUUUUAUUAUUAUUAUUAUUCCCAACUAGAAGUGGUACCACAGCCCAGACCGUAAAUGGUGCCGACACGCCAAUUGCAUGAAUAGAUCCAGGUCCCUGAAGACUAUGCAGACGACAAAAUCCAGGCAUGCCGGCCACUAGGUGGCGCUAUACCAAGGAAUACGCGUUUGGGGCUAUAACUCCCACACCGAACCUCCCACAGUCAAAAACUUGUACGCACAUAUGCACUGGAGUCUGCUGCAUCUUUUGGCAUAGGCCACGCCCAUUUGCGUCUAGAAUUUUUUUUUCGCAAAAUCGCGAAAACCGCAAAACUGUUUUUUCCCUACUCCUCCCACAUUUCUUGACCAAUCGACA
ensembl:lncRNA